rnacentral:rRNA from 1 species
UGGGGAAUCUUGGACAAUGGGCGCAAGCCUGAUCCAGCCAUGCCGCGUGAGUGAAGAAGGCCUUCGGGUUGUAAAGCUCUUUUACCAGGGACGAUAAUGACGGUACCUGGAGAAUAAGCCCCGGCAAACUUCGUGCCAGCAGCCGCGGUAAUACGAAGGGGGCUAGCGUUGUUCGGAAUUACUGGGCGUAAAGCGCACGUAGGCGGAUUGUUAAGUCAGAGGUGAAAUCCCGGAGCUCAACUUCGGAACUGCCUUUGAUACUGGCAAUCUAGAGUCCGGAAGAGGUUAGUGGAAUUCCCAGUGUAGAGGUGAAAUUCGUAGAUAUUGGGAAGAACACCAGUGGCGAAGGCGGCUAACUGGUCCGGUACUGACGCUGAGGUGCGAAAGCGUGGGGAGCAAACAGG